GAGUUUGAUCCUGGCUCAGAGCGAACGCUGGCGGCACGCUUUACACAUGCAAGUCGAGCGAGAAAGCGGCUUCGGUCGCAAGUAUAGCGGCGGACGGGUGCGUAUAACGUGGAUAACCUGCCUUAAGGACCGGGACAACCUUGGGAAACCAAGGCUAAUACCGGAUAUGACCACGAUGUCUGAGGGCAACGGGGUAAAAGAUGACCGUUUACGGUUGUCGCCUUUUGAGGGGUCCACGUCCUAUCAGGUAGUUGGUGGGGUAAAGGCCUACCAAGCCAAAGACGGGUAGCCGGCCUUAGCGGGUGAUCGGCACACGGGGACUGAGACACGGCCCGAUCCUACGGGAGGCAGCAGUGGGGAAUAUUGGGCAAUGGGCGAAAAGCCUGACCCAGGAUGCCGGUGAGGGCAAGACGGCCUUCGGGGUUGGUAAACCUUAUGUCAAGAGGGGACGAAGGGUCUGCAAAUUAACCUUGCGGGCUUGACUGUACUCCAGAGGAGCCCGGGUAAUCCCGNGUGCCAGAAGGACAGACGGGUAAAUAACGGGGAAGGGGGCACAAAGCAGUUGGACUCAGGGAAAUUAACUGGGGGGUUAAAAGAAGAGUCCAGAAGAGGUGGGACAUUUGGACAAGUUAGGGGUUGUUGAAAAGCCCAGGAGAAGUUUAAACUCACCGGAAUUGGUUCCAAAAAUUGGUUGGAUUGGAGUCCAAAAAAAGUUGGGAANCCCCCGGGGAGAAACAGGGGGAAAAAAAGNCGUGAACAAAAUCCGGGGGGAACACCACCAUGGAGAGGAGAAAGGAAGCCAAACCUGGGUUU
rnacentral:rRNA from 1 species